rnacentral:sRNA from 1 species
UCGUAUAAGUACUUUGACACAAAUUAGACUGAGUACAUUUGUGAAAUCAUCAUGCAUAUACAAUUGUAGUAAAUAAAUUUUGACAGGUAUUUGCACACCAUGUCAAUACGGUGACCUUUCAGAAAGAGAACAUGGGCUGCACGUGUUUACUGGUACAUUUAUAUCGAUAUGUCAAUUUUGUCAACGUUAGUUUAGAGGUUAUAUGCCAAGGUCUCAUUGAUAUACAUGUAUAUAAUAUUAUGUAGGAAAUCUGGCAGAUAUACGAUAUGUGUCACAUUUUCGAAAGUACUAGUAUACCAUUCUUAAUUGGCACUACUAGGUUUUUUAACAUAUGCCUAUUGUUACGAAACUCUUAAAUAUUUUUCUUUAUUAUUUAAUCUUUAUCAUUAUGUAUUAAAUUAAGAUAUAUAUAUAAUCGUAAUGUUUUAAAAAAUAAAUCCAUUGUGUUUAUGUGGUAAAACAGAAGGCAUCAUUUCUUAUUUUCUUGUAAAAAUUAUUCUAGAGCUAAAACGAUUUGUUUGACCACUUAUUUAUGCUAGGUUUGAUCAAUAUUGAUACUACUUUAAUUUAAUAUGGUAACGAUAACCUACCUGUACAUAACAACAAUAUCAUUUUUGCUUCUGUGCACUAAUUUAUUGACGAAUCUUAGAGAUUAAAGUAAUUUUUCUUUGUUUAAAUGUGUAUAUCAGUAUAUAUUUUAAUUUUAAAAACAUGCAUGACAGUUAUUGUUACAUUUAAGAAGAAGAUCAAGAAAGUUUCAAAAACUUGUAACGAAUCCUUUUGAGUUUAUCUAAUAAAAUAUGUUUAAAAAA